UACAGAGGGUGCAAGCGUUGCUCGGAAUUAUUGGGCGUAAAGGGUAGGUAGGUGGUCUCAUUUGUCUGUGGUGAAAGCCUUGGGCUUAACUCAAGAAGUGCCGCAGAAACGGUGAGACUGGAGUCCUGGAGAGGGUCGUGGAAUUCCCGGUGUAGCGGUGAAAUGCGUAGAGAUCGGGAGGAACACCAGUGGCGAAGGCGACUUCCUGGCCUGUUCUUGACGCUGGAGGCGCGAAAGCUAGGGGAGCAAACGGG
rnacentral:rRNA from 1 species